CGCAUGUGAAACCAUAAUGGCUUCAUAAUUGACUGUUGCCUUAAGUUUGUUUACAUAAAACGUAAACACACAUUUCUGUCUAGACUAAUUCAUCCCGUCUGGAAACUUGUAAUGAGGUAAAAGUCUACAUGGUGGCAGUAUUCAUGUAGCAGCUAUGUGACGGACAGCAGCAUCACCUCUAAGGAAUACCUAAAUAAUCUGAUUUGAAGCAUUCAUCGGCUGCUGAUCUCAACAGGGAAGGGCCCGUAUUAAUGGGAGGCUGAUUGACGGGCUGUUUGGCCUCCAGCCGGGAGGGAUUGUUGUCUGGCUGUGGGACGAGGUCAAGGGUCACGGUCCGGAGAGGCCGAGACAGAAACCAGAUCACAACAGAAGGCUAAUUAUCAUGCAUUGUGGCCGGGCUCCUGCUGGGACUCCGCCUUCACUUUCACCAGCAGGUCACACUGAGAACUCUACACCUCCCUGGUGAGAUACGUAACUAAUGUAUUACUUAUUCUGGGAUUUAUGUGAGAGUGGUUGCUUUGCUUAAAAUCCAGGAUAGUCUAUUUAACUAUUAUAGGGCCUAACAAAUAAUAUAAUAUUGUAAGUAUUUAAUCAGCUCACAAGUACUAUAUAAUUGCAAAUAAAAUAUAUUAUAUAUAUAAUUAUUUUUCAUAAUACAUAUAUUUAAAUAUGAUAUAUUUACAAUAUACUUACUAUAUGUAUGUAUAUAAAAAAGUAUAUUAUUAUAAUAUAAUAUAAUGAUAUAACAUGUUAAUAAUGUAAGUAUGUAUAUACAUAUUUAUUAUUCAUAAUUUGUAUUAUUCUUCAGAAAAUUCUAAUCUUAAUGUGUGCCUGCCCUAUGCACAUAUGUAUCGAUAUCGUUUUGAAAAUAUAUUUUUUAAAUAAAUGUGACAUUCAUUUGACUAAUAACCAAUAAUAACUCAUCAUUUUGUAUUCCCUCGUUUCAUGUCUGUUUUUAUAUUUAAAAACAAAAACAAAACAAAAAUCAAACCCGGCCGCCCAAGUUAGUAUGGUUUCCUGGGAGGAGCUUGUGCCAAACAUUUUGUAGGGG